AUUGAACGCUGGCGGCAUGCCUUACACAUGCAAGUCGAACGGUAACGCGGGGGCAACCCUGGCGACGAGUGGCGAACGGGUGAGUAAUACAUCGGAACAUAUCCAGUAGCGGGGGAUAACCUAUCGAAAGAUGGACUAAUACCGCAUACGAUCUACGGAUGAAAGCAGGGGACCGCAAGGCCUUGCACUAUUGGAGUGGCCGAUGUCGGAUUAGCUAGUUGGUGGGGUAAAAGCCUACCAAGGCGACGAUCCGUAGCUGGUCUGAGAGGACGAUCAGCCACACUGGAACUGAGACACGGUCCAGACUCCUACGGGAGGCAGCAGUGGGGAAUUUUGGACAAUGGGCGCAAGCCUGAUCCAGCCAUGCCGCGUGAGUGAAGAAGGCCUUCGGGUUGUAAAGCUCUUUCGGUGAAGACGAAACGGUUAGCGCUAAUAACGCUGGCUAAUGACAGUACUCACAGAAGAAGCACCGGCUAACUACGUGCCAGCCGCCGCGGUAA
rnacentral:rRNA from 1 species